CUGGGUUUGACAUACACCGGAAAGUGCCAGAGAUGGUGCCCCUUUUUGUCGGUGUACAGGUGGUGCAUGGCUGUCGUCAGCUCGUGUCGUGAGAUGUUGGGUUAAGUCCCGCAACGAGCGCAACCCUCGUCCUAUGUUGCCAGCACGUGAUGGUGGGGACUCAUAGGAGACUGCCGGGGUCAACUCGGAGGAAGGUGGGGAUGACGUCAAGUCAUCAUGCCCCUUAUGUCCAGGGCUUCACGCAUGCUACAAUGGCCGGUACAAAGGGCUGCGAUCCUGUGAGGGUGAGCGAAUCUCAAAAAGCCGGUCUCAGUUCGGAUUGGGGUCUGCAACUCGACCCCAUGAAGUCGGAGUCGCUAGUAAUCGCAGAUCAGCAACGCUGCGGUGAAUACGUUCCC
rnacentral:rRNA from 1 species